AGAACGAACGCUGGCGGCGUGGAUAAGACAUGCAAGUCGAACGGGGCAACAUCUGUAGCAAUACAGGUGUUGUUUAGUGGCGAACGAGUGCGUAACACGUGGGCAAUCUGCCGAGAAGUGGGGGAUAGCUCGCCGAAAGGCGAAUUAAUACCGCAUAUGAUCAGGGACGACAUCUUCCCAACAUCAAAGCCGGGGUAACCUGGCGCUUCUUGAUGAGCCCGCGGCCUAUCAGCUAGUUGGUGAGGUAACGGCUCACCAAGGCUAUGACGGGUAGCUGGUCUGAGAGGACGACCAGUCACACUGGAACUGAGACACGGUCCAGACACCGUACGGGUGCAGCAGUCGAGUAAUUUUUCACAAGUGGGCAACCUGAUGGAGCGACGCGCGUGGAGAUGAGGUCUUCGGUUAGUAACUCGUGU
rnacentral:rRNA from 1 species